GGAGGUAAGGAUGAUCAGAUUGCUACAUCUGUCAACCCCACUGAUGCCCAGUGUCAAUUGGCUGAUCUGUCUAUUUAGGUAGGUACUUCCAUGUUCCCUCCAUAGUCCUCUAUAUAUAUCCCUCCCAAAGCUGCACAGUCAAUCUUUUCUAUGAGAGAAGGAUAGAUUUUUGGUCAGAGGUAUAUGAGUACCUAGGCUCCCUCAUUAGAACCUUCAUAAAAGCUUUCAACACCCAUUUGUAGAAGAAUAUAAAACUCCAGACACAUCCAAAUAACGUACUGCAUGUGACAGUCUGUCUUUAUUU
ensembl:misc_RNA 7SK 7SK RNA